ACUGCGCUUUAGAAGUCACUAAACCCAAUUGCAUCGAGAGUAGAGAGCUGGAAGCCAUUUGUAAAACGUUGGAAAAGUUCUGGAAGAGGAUUUUCUUUGCAUUGUUCUUCAAGAAAGCAACCAACUGUCAACGACAAACAAAUCAAAAUGAGUGAAAACGGUUCUCCUGCAAGAUCUGAUGCUAAAAAGUCGGACAGUGAUGGAUCCCCGAGGUCAAAGUCACCAAGUGUAUCCCGAUCAAGGUCUCGUUCACCUCGUCGAAGUAGUUAUAGACACAGAUACUCAAACUCAAGAUCUAGAUCUAGAAGUAGAAGAUACUCGAGAUCACGAUCAAGGACACCACCCCCAAAACAUAGGUCAAGAAGAAGACAUAGUCGAAGCAGAAGCCGAUCUAGAUCACCAAAACGAUACAGAAGAAAUGACAGGUAUGAAAGGAGAUCAAAAGGCCGAAGUCACUCACCGAUGUCUAACAGACGUAGACACGAAGGAAAUAGAGAUGAUCCUGAGCCAACAGCUACAUUAGGAGUAUUUGGUUUGAGUUUAUAUACCCAGGAACGUGAAUUAAGAGAAGUAUUUAGUAGAUAUGGUACAGUGGAACAAGUUCAAAUAGUUUAUGACAGACAGAGUGGAAGAUCUCGAGGCUUCUCUUUCAUAUAUUUUAAGAAAGUUGAUGAUGCUAUUGAGGCUAAAGAAAGAUGUAAUGGUGUUGAGAUUGAUGGACGAAGAAUUAGAGUUGAUUAUUCUAUAACACACAGAGCUCAUACUCCUACCCCGGGUAUUUACCUCGGAAAACCCACAGAACCACGAUAUCGCUCACCGUCACCACAUAACAAAAGUCACCGAGGGCGAUCACCCUCACCAUACAGACGACGUUCUAGAUCUCGAUCCCGAUCUUAUUCACCACGUAUUGAAGAAAGAAAAAUGAAGUUAUUUGGAAACGAAACUCGAAGAGAAAUUAUGACAUAUUGAAGAUAUGACAUAGAAUUGAAGAAAUGCGUAGAAUAUUCAAUUGGUUUUGAAGAAUGAAAAUUUUGGGUGGGACGAAUGAAAAUUGAAGUCGGAAAAAUGAUAUUGAAGUUCGAAAUAUGAAAUUGAAGUCAGAAAAAUGAAAAUUGCAAGUCCGAAAAAUGAAAAUUGAAGUGAGAAAAAUGAAAAUAGAAGAGAAAGAAGAAAGAGUUGGGUGAAGAUUACACAAUGGUUGACAUGAGCAAUGGUAUAGACUAGACAUUGGAAAUGUCAACUUUGUGGUGGAUGGGUUCUCCUUCAUUUAAUUUACUCCAGUUGUAUCUUCCUACCUAGGUCAAAAUUUCUUGUUUUCUUUUCCAUGCACAAGAAUUAAUUCUGGAAAUUAACAAUCGACUGUUUGGCAUUAAUUCUGGAAAUUAACAAUCGACUGUUUGGCAUUAAUUCUGGAAAUUAACAAUCGACUGUUCGGCAUUAAUUCUGGAAAUUAACAAUUGACUGUUUGGCAUUAAUUCUAGAAUUUAAAAAUCAACUGUUUGGCAUUUUCAUGAAAGAUUUCACACAAAAAAGUAUGAGAAUUUUCAAAAUAUUUCAUCUGUUGCUACUUCCGUUGCUAUCUUCGUAAUAAGGGCUAAUGAUAUAUUCUACUUCAAUCUAAAUUUGACAUCAAAAAUUUAAACCAGAUAAGAUUCUGCUUCAGCCAAAAUAUUCCGUCACCGACUCAUCCCCCAAAAAUCCUCAUAAUUCUACUUCAACCUCCCAUGUGUAAUUUUCAGCGGGUGUGGGAUGUCAGGUGGUUGUGUGGCCGGGGCUAUGUGGGAUUAUAUCAUUUCAGGUGAUGUUAAUUAAUGGAACUGGUAAUUGGACGAUGUGUGAAGUAGGAUUUAUAUUGUUAAAUAAGCAAUUAGAUCAGAUUUUUUUUUUUACAGGACAAGAACAUGGUAGGACAAUGGUAGAAGUUUAUUAGACACAACUUUUAUUGGUAGAUUAACAGAUUUUAUUUUAUUCGAAUGUGUAUAUUAUGUAAUAAAGAAAUGGAUCAAAUUUUA